CUCCAGGGAUUUUGAGUUUUUGCUUGUAACGUUUGACUACUCGUCUUAUUCAAUUUUUUUAAAAAAUAUUAUUUAUUUUAUUUGUGACUUACUUUAUUAUCCACAGUACUUUAAGCGCAACUUUUCAUUUUUGAUAUUUGCAAAAAAAAUUUGAAUAAGACGAGUGGUCAAACGUUGCAAGCAAAAACUCAAAAGCCCUCAUU
rnacentral:pre_miRNA from 1 species